CUUCCAUUUUUGCUCCUCGGAUUUAGAUUUGCAGUGGUUCCUGUUGCACAAUUUGUGGGAGAGAGGUUAAUGUUGGCAGCAUGAGGUGUGUUGGAAGCAUUCUUCUGGUGAUUGUGCUCUCGUUUUCUUCUCUGGCCUUCUCCAAUGCCGCAAUAAACAUGGUUAGUACAAUAGUAUACUACGUACAGUUUUCUUGCACCCAUUUCUGUUCGUGAAACUAGAGUAGACUAGAAACAGCAGCAAAUGUCUUAUUAUUUGAUAUUCACGAAUGUAGGAGCACUUAAACGAAAACCCGAUGUCGCUAAUGGGUAGGAAAUGGUUGGGAGGACGGAGGGCAAUUGUCGCUUCGGUAAAUGAAGGUGUACACAAAAAGGAUGAGUUUGUGGGAAGCAAGGUAGCUGCAGAGGUUAGCGUUGUCUGUUUAAGUAAAGAAAUUGUUGUCCAAAUACAUGGCGGCACACGGAGGCGAACUUACCGCACUCCGAGAGUUCAUCCAGCAAAGAAAGACUGAAAGGCGAAGUUACAAGCAUGC
rnacentral:lncRNA from 1 species